UGUCCUCGUGAUGUCACUGAGGAGAAACGAAAGUAAAACUUCAUCUCCAGAAUCCGGUUCUCUUCAGCUGAACUUGGUCUCCGGUGUUUUUUGGAGGAUCUGUAUCUCCUGCAGUCAUGGCUUCCUCCAGCAGUCUCCUGUCUGAAGAUGAGUUUCAGUGCUCGAUUUGUCUGGAUGUGUUCACUGAUCCGGUCUCUACUCCAUGUGGACACAACUUCUGCAUGGUCUGUCUCAGAGAGUUCUGGAACAGCAGCUCACACUGCCAGUGUCCCGUCUGUAAGGAGGAGUUCUCCAGAAGACCUGAGCUUCGUGUGAACACCUUCAUCUCUGGACUGACUGCUCAGUUCAAGAAGUCGCUUCAGGUGAAAUCCAGCAGAUCUUCAGUGAAACCUCCCUCCAAGCCUAAGAAGAUUCUGUGUGAUUCCUGCACUGAGAAAAAGACGGAGGCUCUGAAGUCCUGUCUGGACUGCAUGACCUCCUACUGCAAAACUCACCUGGAGCCUCAUCUCAGAGCUCCUGCACUGAAGAAGCACAAGCUGAUGGACCCUGUGGAGAACCUGCAGGACUACAUCUGCCAGAAUCAUGAGAGACCCCUGGAGCUGUUCUGUAGAGACGACCAGACCUGUGUGUGUCGGUUCUGCACUGAGACAGACCACAAGACUCACAGCACUGUUCCUGUAGAGCAGGAGAGUGGAGAGAAGAAGACUCAGCUGGGGAAGACACAGGCAGAUGUUCAGCAGAUGAUCCAGGACCGAAUGAAGAAGAUUGAGGAGAUCAAUCACUCUGUAGAUCUCAAUAAGAAAAACACAGAGAAGGAGAAAGCAGACAGUGUGGAGGUCUUCAGGGCUCUGGUGCGCUGCAUUGAGAGGAGCCAGGCGGAGCUGCUGGAGGUGAUGGAGGAGGAGCAGAAAGCAGCAGAGAGGCAGGCUGAAGAGCUGAUUAAAGAGCUGGAGCAGGAAAUCACUGAGCUAAAGAGGAGAGACACUGAGCUGGAGCAGAUCUCCCACACUGAGGACCACCUCCACCUCCUACAGGUUUACCCCUCCCUCUGCAGACCCCCACCCACCAAGACCUGGACUGACGUCAGGAUUAACACUCAUCUGAGGGUGGAGACUCUGAGGAAAGCUCUGUCUCAGCUUCAGGAAGCCCUCAGUGAGGAGAUGGAGAAGCUUUCUGAGAUCAAACUGAAGAGAAUUCAACAAUAUGCAGUGGAUGUGACUCUGGAUCCUGAUACAGCUCAUCCUGAUCUCAUCCUGUCUGAUGAUGGGAAACAGGUGAAACAUGGAAACAUCCGACAGAACCUUCCUGAUUCUCCACAGAGGUUUAAUCUGGUUCCCUGUGUUCUGGGAAAGGAGGGAUUCUCCUCAGGGAGGUUUUACUAUGAGGUUCAGGUCAGAGGGAAGAGUAACUGGGAUUUAGGAGUGAUCAGAGAGUCCUUCAACAGAAAGGGGAAGAUUGCUAUUACUCCUGAGGAUGGAUACUGGUCUGUAGUUCUGAGGAAUGAAAGUGAAUAUACAGCUCGUGAUUCUCCUCCUGUCCUCCUCUCCUUAAAUCAGGUUCUCCAGAAGGUGGGGGUGUUUGUGGAUUAUGAGGAGGGUCUGGUCUCCUUCUAUGAUGUUGAGACCAGCUCUCAUAUCUACUCUUUCACUGGUCAGUCUUUCACUGAGAAAAUCUAUCCAUACUUCAGUCCCUCUCUCAAUGAUGGAGGUAAAAACUCAGCUCCACUGAUCAUCACUCCUGUUCAUCAUCAUAAAUGAGCUUCUUUUACCCCAAAAUAAUAUUUUCUCUGAUAUUUUCCACAAAACAAAUUAUUCAAUCUUUCUAUUUCUAUAUAAAAUAUAAAUGGGUGGGUUAAAUGAUGCAUGAUUUUACAGUAAUCAAGUAAAAAUAUUAAUUAGGGUGUGUUUUCCUCCAUAAAUCUUCUGUUAGUGAUGUAAAAUAGAUUUAUGUUUUAUUUAGAUUUGUAUUGUGAGGUAAACAGAAUGCAGAAUGUCCUGUGGUGUGACGUAAUAUGAAUGAAUUAUGAAAUAUAAACCCUUAUAUAGAAUAAAUCAGUAAUAUCUGAACUGUUUAUAAUGGCUUUAAUCAUGUUUACUUUGCCAGUAUAAGGUUUUAAAAUGGAUCAGACUCCUACAAUAAUUAUCACAGGACAUUUUUAAGGCUUUGUGAUGAAAAUGAUCAGGUUUUUAAACAGGCAGUUUGAUGGUCAUCUCUAGAGGUUCUUUAGUGCAGCAGGAAACAGAAGGUCCUUCAGAUGAUUGGCUGUGAUUUGGAUGUUUGAAUCUCUUAUUAAUUUUACAGAUUUCCUACUUUCUGUGAAACAGUUAACGUUUCAGUUUUCCUCAGUCCUGCGGUGUGACGGCUCUACUUUGAGAAAAUGUAAAUAUUAAUCUUAAUAAAUUAGUAUAAAUAAAGUUUAAAAUAUAUAUUUAAUCAGUUAUUAAAAUGUGCAGGGUUAAUUACAUCAACUUUCUUUUUUCAAAUGUACAGAAUUGAUUUUUUUUAUUUUACUGUAAUGUAAUGUCACACCGCAGGACAGUUUAUGUACAAGGUUGUGAGAAAAGCUUAUAAAAUGGUAGAAAAAGAGAAAUAAUGUCUGGAGAAAACGAGCAGAUCAGGAAAGUUUAAACUCUGAACUGCAGAAUUUCAUAAAAUGAGUUAAAAUAUGAAAAUAUAAAAGUAGUUUAUUUUAUAAAUAUCUGUUUCAGCUCCAUUCAUCAAAUACCCAAAUCCAGUGAAUGAAUGAAGAAUGUAAAAAUGUAAUAAAUGAAGAUUAAAUCAGGAUCUUUGAUCCAGUUGCUCUGUGUUAAAGAGGCUCAUCUCUAAAUCCUCUUUUUAGCAUCAUUUAUGAAAAGUGAUAUUUAGUCUGUACUGUAAUCUGUACACAGUUAAUCAGACAGCAGGUGAAGCUACCUGUACCUGUUUCACUGUGUUCUGUCUUGUGCUGCAGAGCCAGUUUCAUCCUAUUUACUGUCCUGAAUAAACUCUAAUAAAGAUCUGCUUUCAUGAAGCUCUUUUUCUAUCA